rnacentral:rRNA from 1 species
UACAGAGGGGGCAAGCGUUAUUCGGAAUUAUUGGGCGUAAAGGGCGCGUAGGCGGCUUUUCAAGUGACGGGUGAAAUCCCUCGGCUUAACCGAGGAACUGCCUGUCAGACUGGAAGGCUUGAGACCGGGAGAGGUGAGUGGAAUUCCCAGUGUAGCGGUGAAAUGCGUAGAUAUUGGGAGGAACACCAAUGGCGAAAGCAGCUUUCUGGGACGGUACUGACGCUGAGACGCGAAAGCGUGGGGAGCGAACAGG